UCCCUGGUGGUCCAGUGGCUAAGACUCUGUGCUUCUAGAGCAGGAGACACAGGUUCAAUCCCUGGUUGGGGAA
rnacentral:tRNA from 1 species